GACGAACGCUGGCGGCGUGCUUAACACAUGCAAGUCGAACGGAAAGGCCCUGCUUUUGUGGGGUGCUCGAGUGGCGAACGGGUGAGUAACACGUGAGUAACCUGCCCUUGACUUUGGGAUAACUUCAGGAAACUGGGGCUAAUACCGGAUAGGAGCUCCUGCUGCAUGGUGGGGGUUGGAAAGUUUCGGCGGUUGGGGAUGGACUCGCGGCUUAUCAGCUUGUUGGUGGGGUAGUGGCUUACCAAGGCUUUGACGGGUAGCCGGCCUGAGAGGGUGACCGGCCACAUUGGGACUGAGAUACGGCGCAGACUCCUACGUGAGGCAGCAGUGGGGAAUAUUACACAAUGGGCGGAAGCCUGAGGCAGCAGCGCCGCGGGCGGGAAGACGGCCUGCGGGUUGAAAACCGCUUUCGCUUGUGACGAAGCGUGAGUGACGGUAAUGGGUAAAGAAGCACCGGCUAACUACGUG
rnacentral:rRNA from 1 species